rnacentral:rRNA from 1 species
GUGCCAGCAGCCGCGGUAAUACGUAGGUGGCAAGCGUUGUCCGGAUUUAUUGGGUUUAAAGGGUGCGUAGGCGGUCUAUUAAGUCAGUGGUGAAAUAUCGCAGCUUAACUGUGAGGGUGCCAUUGAUACUGAUGGACUUGAGUGAAGUCGAGGUAGGCGGAAUUGACGGUGUAGCGGUGAAAUGCUUAGAUAUCGUCAAGAACACCAAUAGUGAAGACAGCUUACUAGGCUUAUACUGACGCUGAGGCACGAAAGUGUGGGGAUCAAACAGGAUUAGAUACCCCAGUAGUCC